rnacentral:ncRNA from 1 species
UGUUUUAGAAGGCUAAUAGGUUGUAAAGCUCUUUCAUUAAGGAAGAAAAAGACAGUACUUAAAAAGAAGUUUCGGCUAAUUUCGUGCCAGCAGCCGCGGUAAUACGAGAGGAGC